CCUUCGGGAGCUGUACAGGUGCUGCAUGGCUGUCGUCAGCUCGUGUCGUGAGAUGUUCGGUUAAGUCCGCUAACGAGCGCAACCCUCGCUGUGUGUUACAAGUGUCACACGGAACUGCCGGUCAUAAACCGGAGGAAGGUGGGGAUGACGUCAAGUCAGCAUGGCCUUUAUAUCCUGGGCUACACACACGCUACAAUGGGAAGGGACAAUAGGUUGCGAAGCCGCGAGGCGGAGCCAAUCCAGCAAAACUUCCCUCAGUUCAGAUUGCAGGCUGCAACCCGCCUGCAUGAAGUUGGAGUUGCUAGUAAACGCAGGUCAGCCAUACUGCGUCGAAUACGUUCCCGGGGCUU
rnacentral:rRNA from 1 species